CCCACAGAUCGAGGAAGAGAGAGAGAGAGAGAGAGAGAGAGAGAUAUGCGGUGUGAUAUAAUUUUCUAGUCGGUGCGUUUUCUUCCGUGUGCGUGCGCGUGCUCGUAAGGGCACACUCGUCAUUGUCAUCCAUCGUAACCAUUCUGUCCUGGAUUUUCGAAAGUUUUCAACGAAACACGAUCGUAAAUUGGAAUAAUGUUAAAAGAUGAAAAAAACAAAUACUACGAUUCUAUGAAAAAUAAAAAAAAAAAAGAAAAGAAUAAAAUAGAAAAGAAUGAUAAAUGAUUAUCGGUCUUGUUAACGUCGAAUGGUUUUCAUUUGAAGUGAUAAAAAUAUCAUUUUUAUCUUAAAAAUAUGAUAUAUAUAUAUAUGUUGUUAAUGACGAGCGAAGAAAAAUUUGAACAUUGGAAAAUUUUUCAACGAGAAACUGAACAAAAAUACGUAUCUACUUAGAAGAUUGUUAUUAUUAUUGAUAAGAAGAAAAGAUAACAUUUGAUUCGAUCGAUUGGAAAUAAGAUUGACACAUUCGUAUCCUUUAACGCUGGAUUUACGAAAUUUUUUUCAAUUUAAUAGAUUUUUUUAAAUUACCACGGUUAAAGUUAUAGAAAUCAUAAAUAUUAGGUGAACCGGAAAGUAAUGUCGCUUUCUUAAAUUAAAUUCAAACGAAUAAAUUUUUAACAAUUUUUAACAAUUUUUAACAAUCAAAUAUCGACAUGCACAGAAACGACAUUACUUUCCGGUCCACCUAAUAUUAUUUUGUAGCAAUUUAUAUCGGCCAUAAUUGAAAUAACGAUAUGAGCAAGUGUUACGUUGGAAACAAGAAAUGAAAAAAAUAAAAAAAAGGAAAAAAAGGAAAAAACAAACAAAAAAGAAAAAAAAAAAAAAAAAGGAAACUCGAUUUUAAUGUACUCGUCAAUGAAGGAAAUUACUGUAAAAAUAAAUUGAUAUGCAAUCAAUGCCGAUAAAUCUAAUGUUAAGAUAAUCUCGUGAAUUAUAUCCCGAUAGGCUCGCAAUGCAGCACGAAUUCCAAGAAAAUAUGAUUUACAGUACUACAGACAUAUGGCCGGAAAAAAAAAAAAGUAGAAACCGUGCGCGCAAGUUCCUCUGAAACGGAUAAGCGUGAUGUUGAAAGAAAAAAAAGAAAAGAAAGAAUAAGAAAAAGAAAAAGAAAAAAAAAAGAAGAAGGAAAAAGAAGAAAAAUAGAAAAAAAAUGGCAAAAAAUUUGUGGAAGUAAAAAACAAAAGCAAAAAGUCCGCUUUCUGGAAGAGUGUAAUAUUACGUUUGGUCACAGAGUUGCGAGCGAAAUAAUGGCUGAUGCUUGCCAUUUUACCGGACUUCUCGCGCUAUAAGCGUUUCCGUAAUUUAGAGACACGUUGUAAGUCGACUCUUGAAAGACAGAGAGAGAGAGAGAGAGAGAGAGAGAGAGAAAAAGAAAGAGUGAGAGAAAGAGAGAGAGAGAGAGAGAAAAAGAAAGAGUGAGAGAAAGAGAGAGAGAGAGAGAGAGAGAGAGAGUUCGGCCGAGUUCUAUGACAGAACGGUUCUCUCUCUCUCUCUCUCUCUUUUUCUCUCUUUCUCUCUCUAUUGUACUAGAAAAUAAUGUCUUGUUUUUGUGACUGCCAUACUGUUCAUAAUCUUUUUGAAUUGCGACUAACGCACAAUAACGGUCAAUGAUCUCGCAAGUGAGCGAAUAGUCAGUCGUCUUGUUCUAAAAAUAAACGAGGACUGUUCGAUACGAAUCUAACAGUUUGAAUUUGAUUAAUUACUUUCGAUGCAUAUCAUUGAUUCUAAUGUCAAUUUAAUUUGUUUACAAAUUAUAAUAUAUCUUAUUUAGUUUUUGUAACAUGACUGCCGUGCAGAUCAUAAUCUUUUUGAAUUGCGACCAAUGCAUAAUCCCGAUCAAUGAUCUUACAAAUGAACGACGAAUAAUCAACAUUUUUGCCCUUAAAAAAAAUAAACGAGACUGUUCGAUACGAA